CAAUAUGAAACUAGCGAUUUUUUCGGGAGAACGGUUUGUAGAGUGUGAACGACCCCGGUACCCACGCUGUGAUUUGACGUUUUUACAGUUCACGCAUUUUUUCUUCGACCCUUUUCCUCGGGUUGUUUUUGUUUUGUUGCAGUUUGUUUUUUGCUCAAACGUAACAAACGAGCUGCUCUUAUUUGGAUAGCGUGAGAGACGAAAACCUAUACAUUUCUGAACACCGCGAAAUAAAUUCUUUUCAGCUCACUCUACGGCGCAAUCUGGAGCAAACCCUCAAGCAGAAAACCCUGGACAGCGAAGUUCAUCAAACCGUUCUGACGAUAGCGCAGGAUCUGGCAGAACACACCUCAGCAGCUGAUCCUUGCUGAGAAGUGACGACAACAAAGAAACAGUCUAGCAACUCCACGAACAGAAUCGCCCUCACUAUGUUCCUGGAGAUACUAUCUACUCCAUCGUCGCCGCUAUCCAUCACAAGUGGUUCUCGAAGAAAGCAACUUCUCGCCACCGUCCCCUAAUCUGACCAACCAGGACCUGCUCUACGUGUAGAUCAAAAAGAUUCACGCAAUCUUUGAUGUUUUCGACGAACUGGUGGAGUCUCCACCGUGGAGAUCAAUACAAUCACCAUAAUCGUUCUCCAAGAAAACACAAUUCCGCUAGUGGAAAUUGUUUGCCGUGAGAUACGUAUGAGUACGUUCCGUGGAUGGCUUCCUGCGGGCGGAUGGGAUUGAAGGACGUCCUCUUGGACAUUAUCAGCAACAUGCUGAAGGUGCAGCAGGAGAGCGACGAACCGGAGUUCAAGCACAUGACGGACCUGGUUCACUUUGUGCUGGAAGGGCGCAAGUGGUAGCUCGAAAGCGUCCUGGACGAGUCCAAGCGAACCGUGCAGUUCGACUCGAUAUUUCCGCUAGAUCAUAUUUAACAAAUGGUGCGGAUAUGUUAUCGGACAUAUCGCGUUCUCUACAUCAAGGUCCAACCCGCGGACUGAAGCGGCAUUCCAUCUGCAUGAGUAUACAGCCUAUAAUUUUUAUGAUUAUUGUACAUCAAAUGGAUUACAUUGUAAUACGUGCAAAUAAAUUACUUAAAAUUAA